rnacentral:rRNA from 1 species
UCCCUGACACUUUAAGUGUCCUAAAGGGUUGUUCAAGACUAGAACGUUGAUAGGCAGGGUGUGUAAGCGCUGUGAGGCGUUGAGCUAACCUGUACUAAUUGCCCGUGAGGCUUAACCAUACAACACCCAAGGGGUUU